GAUUAACGCUGGCGGCGUGCAUAACACAUGCCAGUCGAACGAUGAAACUUAAAUGAUUUCUUCGGAAUGAACUUAAGUGAAUUAGUGGCGGACGGGUGAGUAACGCGUGAGUAACCUGCCUUACACAAGGGGAUAGCCGUUGGAAACGACGAAUAAUACCCUAUGAAACUAUCACUUCGCAUGAAGCGAUAGUCAAAGUGUUAGCGGUGUAAGAUGGACUUGCGUCUGAUUAGCUAGUUGGUGAGAAAAAAGCCCACCAAGGCAACGAUCAGUAACCGGCACGAGAGAGUGGACGGCCACAUUGGGACUGAGACACGGCCCAGACACCUACGGGAGGCAGCAGUGGGGAAUUAUGCACAAUGGGGGAAACCAGGAUGCAGCGACGCCGCGUGAUUUAGAAGGCCUUCGGGUUGUAAAAAUCUUUUGUAUAGGAAGAAAAUGACAGUACUAUAAGAAUAAGGACCGGCUAAUUACGUG
rnacentral:rRNA from 1 species